GCGCCGAGCCAAGCCGAGCCGUGCCGUGCCGUGCCGGGCGGGCCGCCGGGCUGCGGGGUGAGCCGGAGGAUGGAGCAGAUGCCGCGGCUCAGAGCUGGACAGGCGGAAUGGAGAAAUGCCAGUCCUCUCCUAGAGAGCAGGGGGAAUGGGAGAUUGGGCAGCUGAUAGCAUUUGAAGAUCUCAGCACCUCACUGCCUACAUACCAUCACUGCACUUGAAGAUGAACAUCCUCCUUUGUGUCACACACGGCACUGCAAAAACAACCACUUAGUCAAGCAGCAGACUGAGACACGUCCCCUAUCCAUCAUCUCCACGGCUUCAACUCGCAGAGACAGGGAAAAAGAACAGAGUGGAAAAGGACAAUAUAGUCUGAAAAGUUACGACGUGAAAGUGUCAUCACCUCAUCCAGCAAGCCUGCUCCUUGCAUUGUUUUCAGUGAGAGGCAGGAAGCACAAUACUUUUCUCCGGUGCUAGUUCAGCAGAGCCCCUCUGGGGGGUCCCCUGGAUCCUAUUCCUUGCCUGCAGGAGAGCUCGCCCCCAAGAUGAGGUGACAUGGUCUGGCAUCCUCUAUGGCUCAGUAUGCCAAAACUAGUCCCCUGUCAUAUCCCAAGAAGAUAUUAAAGGAUAGCCCUCAGCAAACUGAGUAGUGCUCAGCUGAAUCACAGAGAAACCACAGAUCUGAAGCCUUCACCUGUAAUGCUCACAGAAAUGCUUUUCUGAAUGAACCUUGUUUCUAAAAACCAAAUUAACACAUUGGCAAAACAGUGAUGCAGAAAAGAGUGAUUCAGGCACAAAGGUGGAUGUGCAGCUUUUUCUGGUCUUUUUUUUGGUAUUUGUGAUGACAGAAGCCAUAACUUCAAGUAAACAUCUAAACAUGCAUUGUAUAAUGCAAUAGAAAAACUGAUGCUCAUUAUCUCUUGUGCAAACCUAUGGCAAUGCAGGCUAACAAGUGCGCAGGGUGCCUAAUUAAAAAUAUCAAUAGUGUUAAGUCCUAAUAUCAGCUGUUAGUACAGGAGAACAGUAGUAAUGUCUAGGCACUUUAAAGUUGACAGAGAAUUCAAGAGUGCUUUCUCAUGCUGCUUGAAAAAUAUAUCAUCCAGUCUACAGUGGUAUCAAAUGCUUAUUUCUAGGACUUAGAAACACGAUAAUAAAAGGGAGAGGAUGUGAUCUGCAUGCAGGUUAGCCUUUCUGUGAGCUAUCUGCGUGUGAAGAAUAUUUGCAAACUUCAUUAAUAUAAAUAAGGGGAGGGAGAGAAGAGAGAGUUUAACCCAGAAGAAAACAGCAUCAGAAUCAGCCUGUGAUGAUUAAGCCUAUGACAAAAUCAGCAAGACAACGACCAAGGAAAGGAUUUUGUAGGUAUUCCCACUGCUUUUCGCCAGGGUUAAUUAUUUGGAUGAAGAAAAUGCAGGACAACCUGGAAAGACAAGAACUAAAUGUGCUUCCCAGGCCUUGCCACCUUUGAUACCCAUGACUGCUGACACCAAGCAGCCAGGUUAAAGCACACAUGCCCCAUCAGAGCACAGCGCUUGCCACGGGAUAGCUGUUUUCUGCUGGCUGAGAACAAGGUAAGACAGCCCUUUGUCCCAGGAUCUGCAACUUGCCCUGGCAACCACUAGGACUCCAGCAGCGUGUGCCACCUGCAGACCUGCGUCCCCUGCGAUUCCUUCAUUUCCUGCCAGUGGCUUUGCUCCUCCUCUCCGCUGCUGUUCUGACCCAUGGAAAUCCAGCCGAUCAUCUCCUUGCGCUUCAUGCUGCGCCUGUUGUAUAUGGAGAUCAUCAGGGUGACAUCAGAGAGCUGGAAGAGGGCAACCUGGAAGAUGAAGGUUUCCUUGUAGACAGGGUUGGGCUGUCCUCGGCGGAUGGAGGUCUUGCAGCGAGACAUCUCCUGACCCACAGAGUUGCGCAGGCAGAGCUUUCCAUAGGUAUCUAGGACAGGAUAAAAGAGGAGACAAUACCUCUGGCACAGGUAACAGACUAAAUGGAAGCCCCAAGUGGUCAAAAAACACCCCAAGCCCCUCCAAGUAGAGCAGCUUUGUCUGUAGUGAAUAACAGAUAACGGCUGGACAUCUCUCCUUGGUAAAAUCCAUGGGAUGAGAAGCAGCAGAUGAAAGCACCUCUUGGAUUUUCUCAUAUUGAGCUGUGGAGAAAAAGAAAACUGAUGUGUUUCAGCCCUACUCUCUUGGAAAGAGCAGGGUACCUGGUAUCCAGUCCUAACAAACCUGUCUACGAUUAACUGAAACUAUGAGCAUCUCUAUGGAUUCUCCACAUCAAAUGGUGUGUUUCCAUCUUCCCUUCCUCUCCCUCACAAUCAAGCUUCAUUUGGGCUCUCUUACCCAGGUUUCCUUUGACUGCCCUUGUCUCUCCACCACUCUCUUUUGGAAGAAUGCCUCUGUGACCUAUUGUUUGAGAUACCAAGCAAAAGGAUCUUGAAAGACAGGGAAAAGAAACCUGCAUACACAGUGGAAUGAUUUAUCUCCCAUGAUAAUUUCAAGUUUUUUCCAAAUUCUCAUAUUACUUUUUUGGUGGACUCAGGGUCAAUUUUAUUCACUAUCUAAAUCAAUGUAAGGAGUAAACAUGCCUAGGAAGGAAUGGUCCAAUUCAGUGUUCCUGUAAAUCUGUUCUUUAAACUCUUGCUGCCUCCUGUAUUAAUUAGUUCACCUCUGUUAUGUGCUUGUUAAUACUGCGGUCUCUGAGCUCCCAAUGCUCCACAGAUCCAGCUCAGUGUAAGUUUUCACCUUGCUCUGCACGUGACAGUGACAGAUUGCUUGGCUAGACAAGUCCUCUGCUAACCCCUUCAUAAUCUGUGCCUGGGUUCCUGCAAGUGAGUAUUAUUUCAGAGUGUGCUGAAGAUAGGAAAUAAAUAACAAGCCUCCGUCUCUUGUCUACAGCAUUUCUAUCCUCUUCUGUUCCCGUUUGAUGUGCUAUUUUACGCACUUAUCUACUGAGCAACACAAGGUGUGAAAUUACACUUCAGGUGUGAAAACACUUCUAUGUCUCCAAAGCAGGGCUUUCCACUCCUCUCAAACUGUUCCACUGAAAAAGCUGUCAGGAGACUGACAAUCAAGGAGCAAAUUGUGAGCCUGCACAGCUGUACAGCUAUCGAGUUACUGCGGGGAAAGUUCAGCCCAGUCAUUAGCUGGGGGGGCCAGCUUGGCUCCCAGCGUAACACUGGCGAUGAAUUAGAUCUUGCCAACAAAGACCUACUUGUUGCACAGAAAAGCAGAGCUUUGAUUUAAUUUCCUGAUGGUAUCUGGAAAGAAAAAAAAAAAAAAGGCAAAAAAAAAGCUUUAUUAAGAGGUGGACUAAUUUCCACCUUACUAUUCAGUGUUGGUGGUGCUGAGGGACUGAAAUCUGUAACAACUUCAGAUCCAUCAGAAGCACAAAGCCCAAGAGAGGACUCCCUCUUCUACCUCAACUCAAUGUGGAACUCUGCAAGACAACUACCAGACACAACUCUUGCAGUGUUUGUAGAGAUGUCACUUUGUUUUGGACUGACAAACCACAACAUGCACUGAAGCAUUCCUCAUGUGUGAGUCCUGGCUGCUGGUCUAGGCUGCAAGGAACUCCCUGGAAAUAAAGAUAAGUGAGGAGAA